GACGAACGCUGGCGGCGUGCUUAACACAUGCCAGUCGAACGGAAAGGCCCUGCUUUUGUGGGGUGCUCGAGUGGCGAACGGGUGAGUAACACGUGAGUAACCUGCCCUUGACUUUGGGAUAACUUCAGGAAACUGGGGCUAAUACCGGAUAGGAGCUCCUGCUGCAUGGUGGGGGUUGGAAAGUUUCGGCGGUUGGGGAUGGACUCGCGGCUUAUCAGCUUGUUGGUGGGGUAGUGGCUUACCAAGGCUUUGACGGGGAGCCGGCCUGAGAGGGUGACCGGCCACAUUGGGACUGAGAUACGGCCCAGACUCCUACGGGAGGCAGCAGUGGGGAAUAUUGCACAAUGGGCGGAAGCCUGAUGCAGCAACGCCGCGUGCGGGAUGACGGCCUUCGGGUUGUAAACCGCUUUCGCCUGUGACGAAGCGUGAGUGACGGUAAUGGGUAAAGAAGCACCGGCUAACUACGUG
rnacentral:rRNA from 1 species